GGUGCUACUCAUCAUGUCACAACAGAACCUACAAUCUUGAAAAAUAUAAUGGUUCAAAAGGCAUAGCUAUGGGCGAUGGACUUGAAAAUGCGAACUCCGCUGGUCUCCAGUCGGAAUAGGAACAGACUCUAUGAAUGGCCCAAUUUCCUCGUCAAUAAACCUACUGUUCAAAUCGCCACUGCAACAGUUCCUCGUCAAGUCUGGCACCGUCGCCUUGGCCAUCCCCAUUCAAGAAUAUUGAACUUUGUUUUGAAUAAAUUUUCUUUACCAGUUUCUUCAUCGAACAAGUUUACUUUCUGUAAUUCUUGUUGCUCAAAUAAAGUUCAACGUUUUCCA